CGCGUAGGUGGUUAAGUAAGUUGGCUGUGAAAUCCCUGGGCUUAACCUAGGGUGGUCAGUCAAUACUGUUUAACUAGAGUACGAUAGAGGGUAGUGGAAUUUCCGGUGUAGCGGUGAAAUGCGUAGAUAUCGGAAGGAACACCAGUGGCGAAGGCGACUACCUGGAUCGAUACUGACACUGAGGCGCGAAAGCGUGGGGAGGCAAAACA
rnacentral:rRNA from 1 species